AAAAAAAAUAAGAUACCAUUAUCACAAACUGUAUAACAUAAUAUUAAGAUAAAUUCAAAUUAUCUUAAAGUUUAGACAACCAUAAAAUAAUCUAUUAAGGUUUAGCUCUAUUAAAGAUAGAAAUAAAAUUGUAUUUUUUUCACAAUGACAUUGUGAAAUAUUGAACCUCUUAUUCUUCUUGUUCCUUACUCCAAUACUAACAGCUGAACUGACAGUUACACUCUUGCCUUCAUCAUUAUUGUCUACAUCUCUUUCAAACCCAUGAAAAUGGCGUCGAACCAAGUUUUCUGUUGCUGCUGCUGCUCAUGGCGUCUUAGGGCUCAACCAAUUAGACUCAAUGGGAGAGAUGAACACAAAGAUUGCGUUUCAUUGAAACAGAGACUUUUUUUUUUUUGCGAGAGUGAUGAAUCAGGACAACUAAGUCCUUGACUAUUUCACAUUGUCUACGUAUACAAUAAAUAUCUAUGUCAGCAGCGAAAUGUGCUAGCACACAAGGUUAAUGUAACACAUCAGUAUUUUUUGUUCGGAGUUAAUGGAAAAAUACUCGCAAAGAUCGCGUUGUGUUGCGGAAGUAAAGCAUAGG
rnacentral:lncRNA from 1 species